UUUUUAAUUUGUAUUUGAACCAUUAAUUUGGAGACAAGGUGAGGAUUUCAUAUUAGUGUUGAACUAGAUGUAGAUUUGGUAAUGUUAGUUUAAUUUUGAGUUUACUGCUGCAUUCAUCAUGUUUUGGUUUUUUUUUUCUUUUCCAAUUGAUUUUUUUUUUUCUGAGUUGGUUCUUGUGUCUACAAGUUGCAUCUUGUUUUCAUAUUCGGAUUCCUGAAUGUGCUAUGAUGUCAUUCUUAAGUCUUUUUUUUUUUUUCCUGCCUGUGGCCCCAUUGAUUUAUGAAUAUCAUCUUUGGAAGCUUGUUAUGAUUGAUUUUUUUUCUUCUUCUUGUCAGUAUUCUACUAAAUACGUGUGAAGGUUGCCUCUUUUUUGGGGUUUUAAUGAAAGCUACCUAACAACCAAACAAUAAAAGCCUCUAUUAGUUUUUUUAGUUUCCUUUUAGUCCCUCUAAUUUUUUGCUGACCUUGUGCUUUCUCUUACUGACUGACAAUUGGAUGUUCACUUGGUGUUGUACUGCAGGAAGAGUGUUGUAAUUUUCUAUGAAUUGCUUGAUUUUCAUUCAUCAUGUGUACAUCUACAUAGGAAGCCCUGUUUAUUACCUCCUCUCAUGCUUAGGUCAUCUCCAACUCUUGGACUCAAACCUAAAAUAUCCUCCCAAACUUCUUCUAACCCAAGAAAAGAAAGGACCCAAAAUUUGGAAAAACUCAAAUUUGGACCCAAAUAUAGAUCCAAGUAUUGCCUGGACCCAAUACUAUUCACAGAACCCCACGCUGAGGUGGCAUAGCCCAUGUGCUUUUGAAAAAUGGUGAGACCCACGCUGGUUACAUUUUCUGAUGGGCUUGUCUGUGGCAUGGGCCACGUGUCGGCACUAUAAGCUAGAGCCGUUGGGCUUUGGCUAUUUUUUUUUUUUUAAAAAAAAAAAAAUCAAAUAGUAUCGCUGGGGCCCACAUGCUGGCUGUUUCCAUUAAAAAAAAAGACUUAAACAAUUCUUAAACAAUUUAAAUAAAGUUGCGGACUUAAAAUUUGAGUCCGGAGGGUUGGGAGAAAAAACGAUUUGAGUCCGGGCAAAGCUCAAAUAGUCACUUUUUAAAGGGGAAAAAUUUGGGUUUAGCCCCUCAUGAGUUGGAGAAUGCCUUACUAUCCUAGGAUUGUCUACCCUUCAUGUAUGUGAGUUUUAAAUUUUCAUCAUUAUAUAUGUUAUUAAACAUUAGAGAUUAUUUAAGGCAUCAUCUAUUAUCUGAAUUCUGCUUAGUCUUAGUUCCAUGUGCAUUAAUUAACUCUUUAAUUCAUACAUUUACAUUUUAGCAACUUGAUGUGAUUAUUGUGGCUCAUACCAAAAAGGCAAUCUUAGGCUCAUCAAGGAAAGUCAAGCUUCCAAGUGACUUACUGGAUAUUAACAUUUUUGUAGUGCUGAAUAUUUAUUUGUAUUGGAUGUGAGAUUUCAGUUUGUUGCUUUAUGUAAUUAUUUAGCAAUUUAAUUAUUUCUUUGCACCUUUUGUUUACGAAGCUUUAAUUUUCUUUUUCAGUCAUACUAUUCUUUUUGUACUAUCUGUUUUUUUAUUUAGCUUGGCAUUGUGGUCGAGAUGUGGAUGUGAGUUUUUUUUGCUGAAAAGAAACCCAUUGUGAUUUGAGCUUUUUUUUUUUUUUUUUUUUUUUUUUUUUUUUUUUUACAGACAAGACACCCAAUAUAAUUAAUUUCAGUAUCUUUUUCUUUUUUUUCAUGUUAGGCAUAUUGUUGAUGUUGAAAUUUUUGUGACUCAUUUAAAAAGCAUUAGGUAGAAUUUCUUAAUUGUAAUGACAUUAUGUGCUCUGACAUUGAGUUCAUCUUCAUCGGAAUUGUUGUAUUAUAUUGAAGUUUGAUAUGGUAUUUAGGCGUGUAAUUACCAAAUUGUAAGGGGUUUUUUGCAGUUGGUGUACGUAACUUAGCAUACAAUUGGCAUCCUUUUUGCAUUUUCAUAAUGCUAUUACCAACUGACUAGUCUGUUAUUGCAAUUAGAGUAUGCGACAUUAUAUUUGUUGCCUUGCAUUUUUGUAAUGAAAAUGCAACAGGUACUUCAGUAUGUCAUUUUUGAAUCCAAUUAACAAUUGGUUAGUCCGUUUUUACAAUUAGUGUAUGCAUAUUGUCAUGUUAUUGGUAGCCUUUUCAAUUUGCACAUUGUUAGAAUGCAAAUACAAUGUGUGGUUUGUCAAUGCAAUUGACAAACAGGUAAUGUCAUUUGCAUUCCAGUCAUGCUAUUGAUAAACAAAGCAGUCUCAUUUGCAUUCCAAUCGUGCAAUUGCCAUUAUCUAUGCAUAAUUAAUUGAAAAUAUAAAUACAAUAUGUGAUUUGUUAAUGAAAUUGACAAACAGGUAGUGCCAUUUGCAUUCCAGUCGUGCAAUUGACAAUCAUAGUAGUCCCAUGCUUUAUAUGUUUAUUAUGAAAAUACAAAAGAAAAUUGAACUAUGCAGUUGGACAAGUUUAUUUUUCAAAAUAAACAUUUGAAUUGAUUAAGGGUAAAAUAAAUACAAGUUAAUAGAAAGUAUUAGGUCAUACAAAUCCCACAUAAAUAAAGGUACAAAGCAUUAGAUUUUCACAUAUUAACUUGGGUUAUUCGCAGCAAUAGUUCCUCAAUUAUACCUGUAGUUACAUUUGGGUCACUGAACUCAAUUAUUAGUUGCAGAGGUCACUUAAAUAUGUGUUUUGUUACACCAAUAGUUCUUCCGCCAAGUUCUUUUAAAUUUUCUGUCAAAAAUGAGGGUAAAUUCGGAAAUUCAUCCACAACCCUCCCUAUCCUCCACAACUUCAAAAUUUGUAAAUUUGUAAAUUCGGAAAUUCAAAUUGAAUAUCAACUAAUAAAAAUUCUCACAAAUCUACUAUACAAAACUUCAAAACCCUAACCCACAAACCCCUCUUCCCUCUCAACCUCUAGAUGGUUUGCAAAUUGACGGCGAACUGAGUCUAAGAAAGAUUCCUCUUGUGUCAAACUUAUGGUUCAACCUUCCAUUCUUGUUUGCUCAUUCGAGGAGGUCCAAAGAUUCAUCAUUUCAGCACCUACCUUUUUUCAUUUUUGUUUCAAAAGUCUACAAAUUUUAGCACCCAUGAGUCAGAUUUAAUGGCUCUUGCAAAAGAGUCGGGUUUUAAAUUGGUGUAUUUGAAUUGGAUUUGAAGAUUAUGGAAGACCGAUGUGAUUUAGGAGAAGGGUUCAUCUCGAUACGCAAAUCGGAUUCAAAGGUUGGUUCUUUUUCUUGCGCUUAUUUUUUAGGUUGUUUUAGAUUGUUGGGGACAAGCAUGUGAGUAUUGAAUUGGGACAAUAACGUGACUUGGGUUCUCGUAAGUGGCUUAAAAUGCAAGAUCUUGAAUCUGUUUGCUGGUCUGAAGGUAUUUAUUAUGAAUAUUUGAAAAUAUUCUUGGUGCUGUGCGGCAUCUUUUUAAUUGAAUUUUUUGGUGUCGACAAGGAUUGGGUUGCGGCAAUGGAGGGUUGUGGAGGUAGGGGAGGGUUGUUGAUGAAUUUCCGAAUUUAUCCUCACUUUUGAUAGAAAAUUUAACAAAAUUUGACGGAAUGACUAAUGGUGCAACACACCUAAUUCAAUGACGUCUGCAACUAAUAAUUGAGUUCAGUGACCCAAAUGUAACUACGGGUAUAGUUGAGGGACUAUUACUGCGAAUAACCCUAUUAACUUUUAUUGUUAAGCUCUUUUUUGUUAAGUUAGAUCUCACUUUUAAAUGACGAUGGGAAAUUUGUCUCUUGUUUGGCAAUUUCCAUUAAUAUAUAUUUAUAAAUAAAUAAAAAAAAUUAAAAAAAGAGCAUGUUUUACCAUCAAUUACCCUAUUUGCUUCACUUUUGACUUCGUUUUCCACGUGAUUUCACUUCCCAUUCCUAAUGCUUUUGUAAUCCUAAAGUGAAUAAGUUUUUUUUUGGGUAAAAAAAAUACGAUUUUUGGCCUUUGUAAAUAUGUUGUAAACAUGUAUUUAAAAUAUAUUAAAAUUAAUAAAAUAAAUUUAUAAAGGGAAGGUGAGAUAUUAGAGAAUUAAAUUAGGUUCUUAUCCUUGUAAGGACUCAUAUGCAAUUGACAAACAGUUAGUGGAAAAUUGAAACUGAAUAAUGCAAUUGACAAAUAGUAAGUUCAAAACUGCAAUUGACAAACAGUAAAAUGGAACAUUCGAAAGGUAAAUUGGGUCCUUAUACUUAUAAACACAAAUGUUUACAAUAUUAAGGUCUCGUAUUACUCUAUGUUAAACAGGUGUGUUCCAUAAGAGUAUAAAAUUCAUCCUUAAUAUUGUAAUAUCGUAAUUUACAAAGAUAAAGACAUAUAGUACAAUAUUAAGGUCACUUGGAGCAUUAGGAAAGUAAAUUAGGUCCUUAUACCUGUAUAAGAAUAGGGUAAGAGUGGACCUUGGUGGAAUAAAUUUGGUCUUUGUCAUUGUAAACAAGGGAGUUUACAACAUAUAUGACUUCCGUUAUAUUUAUAUGGACAAAGGGGUUCCAUAAAGUUAUAAAAGAGAUCCUUAAUCUUGUAAUAUCGUAAUUUACAAAACUCGUAAUGACCCCCAAUACAAUGUUAAGGUAAGAAUGAACCUUGGAGUAGUAAGUUAAGUCAUUAUCCUUGUAAACAAAGUGGUGGUUACAACAUUAAGGAUUCGUAUUAUACUAAAAUGGACAUAGUCGUUCCAUUACAUUGUAAAAGCCAUCCUUAAUCUCGUAAUACCAUAAUUUACAACAAUAAGGAACCCUUGUAUAAGAAUAGAGUAAGAGCGGACCUUGGUGGAAUAAAUUUGGUGCUUAUUCUUGUAAACACAAGGGUUUACAGUAUUAAGGACCUCUUUUACAAUGUUUUGGACCUUCAUGUUCCAUAAACUUGUAAAGUGUAUCCAUAAACUUGUAAUAUCAUAAAUUACAAUAGAAAGGAUCUCUAUUACAUGGUUAAGGUAAUUAUGGACCUUAGAGAUGUAAAAUUGGUACUUAUUUGUGUAAAUGCAAUGGUUUAUAACAUUAAGGAAUCGUAUUACAAUGCUUUGGACAUAAGCUCUCCAUAAACUUGAAACGUAGAUUCUUAAUCUCGUACAUUACAAGAUUUGGGUUCUCAUUUAUGAUUUUUUACAUCAUGAUUACAAUUUUGAGGUUCUUCCUUAUCCCUACCGUUGUAAUAUCCUGAUUUACAAUUGAAAGGAUCCCUCUUACAAUGAUAAGGUAAGGAUAGACUUUGGAGAAGUAAAGGUGGUCCUUACUCUUGUAAACACAAGGGUUUACAAUAAUAAGGACCCCUUUUACAAUGUUUUGGACCUCGACAUUCCAUAAACUUGUAAUGGGGAUCCUUCCUAUUAUAAAUUAGGGUGUUAUGAGAUUAUGAAAUAUGAAGAACCUUAAACUUGUAAUUAGAUUGCAAAAACUAAUAAAUGGGAACCCAAAUAUUGUAAUCUAUGAGAUUACGGAUCCACUUUACAAGUUUAAAGAACUCUUGCGUCCAAAGCAUUGUAAUACAAAUCCUUAAUGUUGUAAAUCAUUGUUUACUAGAAUAAGGACCCAUUUUACAUCUCUACGGUUCAUCAUUACCAAUUCCUUGUAAUAUGGAUCCAUAUCCUUGCAAAAGGCUGAUUUUUUACAACAUUAUGGAUUCGGUGAACCCUAACGUUGUAAUCUAAGAGCAAAAUUUUGUAAAUUGUUACCCAAACUUGUAAGUUAUGAGUUUAAGGAAUUGGUAAUGGUAACUCAAUCACUUUCUUCUCCUUCAUUGCGUAUUUUGUUAUGUUACAUACUUAUAUAAAAUUUUGAAUAUUUUAGUUAAAAUUGUACAUAUUAUGUGUAAAUAUCAUAUUUAUGUAUUCUAUAUUGAUUAUAAAGUGCAAUAUAUAUUAUUUAAGUAUUAUAUUAUUAUAUAUUCUUAUUUAACAUUUUUUUUAUCAGAACAUGAACCAAUUAUAUUACGAAGAUAUGAAUAAAAAAAGGGAGACGGAUAAGUAAGAAUAAGCAAGAAUACAUAUAUUUUUAUAUAUAAUAAUAUGUCAUCUUGAGAAGUAAUUAUAGUGUGGCUUCAGAGUAUGUCAUAUAAUAUUUAUUAUAAUAUAAGUGGAUAUUUAUUGAUAUUAUGUCUUAAAAGUUGAAUAUCUAAAUACGUAAAUGAGUUAUACUAUGUAGUCGUAUUUUUGUUCCUUAUAGUAAUUUAUUCACAUUUAAGAAAUAACAAAACAAAAAGAAUAGUUUAGAUGUUCAAAAAUUGUAUUUGGUUUCAAGUAAAAAAAAAAAAUUCAGUUUGGCCAAUUGGAUUUAUAUAAAGUUACCCAAGUUUUAUUGAUUUUGGUUACAAGUUAUAUAAAGCAACCCCUAACUCAUGAAUCAUGAAAAAAUCUGCAAAUGUUGUGAAAUAAUUGAUAUAAUUAUAACAAACAUUAUAGUCCACCCUAAUCCAUAACACUGUAAUACUCUAAUUUACAAAGAAAAUGAUAUAUAGUACCAAGGUAAGAAUGGACUUUGGACGAGUAAAAUUAUGUCAUUAUCCUUGUAAACACAACUGAAAAUCUUGUUAUCUAUGAGAAAACUUGUAAACUUUCUACUUUUAUACUUGUUUUUCUUGAUUUUAAUCCUAACAAUGUAAUAUAAAAUACAUGGUCAUGUUAGGAAAAGAAUAUAAAUUUAUAAUACUUCGUGGAUGUCUACAAAAGUACAAAUAUGUAACAUAGAGUUCAACAAGUAAUAUAGUUCUUAUUUUAGAAAUUGAUUUCAACCAAUUACAUAGACAGAACUCGAGGUGAAAAAAUUUGAUGGAUAAAGACUUUCAAGCUCUCAAAUAAAUAUUGAUGCGCAUUCACCAAUUCUAUGAAACAAAAGUAACAAAAAAUUAAAACUAUCAACCUCAAUUGAUGUUUAAAAACUAGGCAUAAAAUACAGAGGAAUUAACCACAACUAGCCAUCAUAAUUCAUAUAAAUAAAACCAGCAACUCAUAAUGAACUUGAGUAAAGCUACAAUGAGGUGACAUAUCGAAAUCAGAAGAAAAAAAAAAGUCAAACAAUUCUCAUUUAAAAAAAGUCUAAAACGGUAGCUUUAGAUUUAUAAAAGCAAACAAAUAUCAUUGUGAAAUUUAUAAGCAUGUCAUCAUGAGUCAAAAAGAAUAAACUCAAUUGAAAAAUAACAUGUCCAAUCAUAUGCCAAUUGCCAGACAGAAAGGGCAAAAUUGCAUGACCCUAAUGCAAUUGCAUUUUCAAAAAGUAGAAACUUGAUAACUUGUAUAACCGGUAACCAAUUUUUUUAAAAAUCUGGAAGAAUCAUAUAGGAAAAAUGGUGCAUGGGUGCACCUGGUGCACUAUAGAAGGUGCCUACUUCACAUGCCCAAACUACUCAUCCAACGAUCAUAAGAAGUGGCGCAUCCAUGCGCCAAGUGCACUGUAGAAUUUUCCCUAUAAAUAAGUCUUGUCUGGUUUUGUCCAAAAUUCAAUCUUUUAGAUUUCUUUUGAAUAUUUUAUCAUUCUCCGCAGGGGCGGAGCCACACUAGGACCAGUGUGGUUCCCGUCCCCCCCUCAAGUUUUUUAAUUUUUAAAAAGUAAUAUACUGUUAUGUAUUUCUACAUGUAUAUUAUUUCAAAUACUUUACACUUUGAUAUGUAUCCUUGUGGUGGACCUAUUAAGGCACAAGGAGGUGCUUCAAAUUGCCCCUUUGCUCAGCUGGUGGUGGUGCACUACAGGUGUACAGAUUACCUUAUUUCCAUUUUCAAUAUUUAAGUAAAUGUCUUUGUCCUUUUACUUUCAUUUAUUUUUAUAUUACUUCAUUUACUUAAGUUUACAAUGUAAAUAAGGAAGUACCCCCUAUUUGGAUUCAAAUAAAUAUACUAGAAAAUCAAAUUCCCACCAAAUCAAAAUAUGAAAAAUCGGUUUUAGUGCAAAAUACGAUUUAGGCUAAAAAUGAUGGCUCAUUUAGUCAAUAUAUAUUUCAUACUAAAAUCUCAUAAAAUCAAGUUUUCUUAUUUGAUGUGUAAGGAAUAAAAGCCGCCAAAAAUUAUAUUGAGAAAAUGAUUAUUUCGAAAAACCAUUUUUCAUACUUAUUCAAUAUUUUUACAUAAAACAUUUUUUCAUGUAUGAUAUGAAUGCAUGAAGGGACCUAAAGUUUUUUUUUAGUUUGUGAAAUUUUGAUUUUUUUUCUUUCUAUUGGGUUUAAUGGGGGAAAAAGCUUUAAAAAUAUUUGCUAAAUUGCUACUCUUUGUCUAUCUCUUACAAUUUUUCUUGCUUAGAAUGUGUUUGUCUAUCGACAAUUAUGAUUGCAACCAAUAAGCAAUAUAAUUCUUGAGAUAUGUGAUAUAUAUCUAUAUAUAUACUAUUUUUCGUAUGUAUUGUGAGUUUGAAUUUUUUAUUCUUUAUCAUUUGUAAGAGGCCCCCACACACAUAAAAUCCUGACUUCGCCACUAAUUCUCCACAUGCCUUUUGCUAUAUCAGUCCCGAUCUCUUGGACCACAGGAGUCCAAGAGAUUGUGGUCACCCACCGUUGGAUAUUAAUUCAAUGGUUGAAAAAAGUUUUUUAAAAUGAGUGCAAGAGUGAGUGAACCGUUGAAUUUACAUCCAACGGUGAGUGACCACAAAUUUCUUGGACCCCUGUAAUCCAAGAAAUCAGAACUGUUUGCUAUAUAUAUAUAUAUAUAUAUANNNNNNNNNNNNNNNNNNNNNNNNNNNNNNNNNNNNNNNNNNNNNNNNNNNNNNNNNNNNNNNNNNNNNNNNNNNNNNNNNNNNNNNNNNNNNNNNNNNNUUUUUCAUAUCACAGUCAUGGUUGAAUAACAAAUAACCAUGUCCUUACCAUAUAUAUAUAUAUAUAUACAGUCCCGAUCUCUUGGACCACAGGAGUCCAAGAGAUUUGUGGUCACUCACCGUUGGAUGUAAAUUCAACGGUUCACUCAAUCUUGAACUCCUUUUAAGAAACUUUUUUGAACCAUUAGAUUAAUAUCCAACAGUGAGUGACCACAAUCUCUUGGACUCAUGUGAUCCAAGAGAUCGGGACUGUAUAUAUAUAUAUAUAUAUAGUAAGGACAUGGUUAUUUGUUAUUCAACCAUGACUGUGAUAUGAACACGUGAAUUAUUGAGAGCGUAUAGCAUUAGCAUUACGCUUGAUAUUGUUAGAAACCAAGGCCGCUAUCACUAAAUUGAGAGAGUUAGGCCACAGAGCCCAUCAAACCAAACCAACUACAUAUUUCUUUCCCAGAAGUAAGCAAAUUUGACGGUCAGAUGAGCCCCUUAUUUUGACUUUGAUGAUAACAAAAAGGGUCAUCUCCUCCAACCACACCCACUCUUAACACUCUCACUGCAACUCUCUGUUCUCAAUGACUAUUGCUUGUAUUCAAUCUCUUUGUAAAGCCCCCACCUUUCUUCUCCCUUCAACUUUUCUGGGUUCCUCUUAUUUCUUGCAGAGUCCACAAGCAAACCCAUUUUCAAGAAACAGAGACUCCAAGUAUUACAUAGACAGAACGAUUGACAAUAAAAAAACAAGAGGUGGGAUUGUCUGUGGGGUGCUUUUCCCAGUUGAUCCAUGGGCACCCAGCAUUGAUUCACAGAGCAUAGCUUCACAGCUCUUUGCAGCCUCCUUGUUUCCCUACCUUGGUUUCUUGUACUUCAUCACCAAAUCAAAGUCUGCCCCAAAGCUCACCCUUUUUGGGUUCUACUUCUUGCUAGCUUUUGUGGGGGCCACCAGUGAGUUUUUCCAUUUCUUUUCAUUCUAUUACCUUUCUACUUUUUUAUGCUCUCUUCUCUUGGGUUUUGGGUAUCCCUUUAGAUUGCCUUAAUUUAGCAUUGUUAAGCUCUUCAAGUGGUUGCAAAUUGAUAUGUAAACCACAGACUCCUUCUACAUUACAUUCUAUUAAUUUAUUACAUAUGGCCAACACAUGGGGCAUAAAAGGAAGAUGGAAGUGGACCUAGUCAAGGACCUGAACUUAUGCAUGUCUUAUGCUUUUGUACCAUUUGUCGACAGUGAUUAUUGUUUUAUCAUAUUUCUUUUCUUUGGGCGGCUGGAAGAUUUGUUUAUAUAGCUUUGUGAUAGGCUUCUAGUGUGUUUGAAAUCCAAAAGACAAUGCUUGUUGUGGGUCUGUCAUAGUUCAAUUCAAUGGCCCCUGCAAAUAUUCACUCUAGUUUUGUAAAAAUGUUACAUGAUUGUUUUGUUUCUUAUUGAAAUUGGGUUGGUAUUGUAAAUUGUUUACUGUCAACUGCUGUGUUUGAACUCUAUUAACAUCCUUAUUUUUGUUCGUUGCUUUCCUCUCGUCUACUGAGCAGUCCCUGCUGGAAUUUAUGGUAAGUUUUCACUGUUUGAGAAUGUUGUACACUUCAUAUCAGUUCAUGAACUGAUGCCUUAUGGUACUCUGGUUAUUUGGCUGAACAGCAAAGGUGAAAUAUGGCACUUCAUUGGCGAAUGUCGAUUGGUUACAUGGUGAGGCUGAGGCACUUCUCACUCUAACCAACAUAUUCAUUGUGUUGGGGUUGAGAAGAGCCCUCAGAAAAGCUGAAGAUGCAAAAGCAAGAACAUCAACUCCUAUAUCAGGGUUGAAGGAGGAGAAGAAAACUUCUGUUUAGGUGCAGCAGACAGAUUUUGCUCUGGGUUCUUUCUUAACGCGUUUUAUUUCCAUGUUAGAUUUGAAGUCUUUAACUCUUUUUCUUCUGCUUUGUUACAAACCACUAUUGCCUAUGCCUAAUAUCUCUGCAGUCAUGUUUUCCCCUGUUCCCUUGAGAAGCCAUAGUCUCUCAUUUACUGUAUGUAAAGUCGCAACAUUUCUGUUGUUUUUUUAGCUGAGUCUUGAAAUGUUGGGUAAUUGUCCAAUCUAGAAUCGUAUAUACUGUUUAUAUUCCUUUUUUAUAUCUCUGUGUUUCUGUUAUGUGUUAUUUAAACAAGAACAUGACCUCCCGGUUCGAGUCUAUAAGUUUGUUUAUUUAUUGAGAGCAAUGUUGUAGGAUCUUCACUUAUCCUAUUUGGUUAUAAGAUGUGUUUGUAUGGAACUUCUGCUUUAUUCUGAACAAAUAUGGGCUUCAAUUGGAGUUAAAAGGAAAAAAUAUUAUUUGAAAACUAUAAUAUAAUCAAUUCUAUCCGUCGGCUAACAUCAGAAAAAGCUCUUAUCUUUUACUAGCAUUCCUCCUAUCUUAUAAUACAUGGUUGAUUCAAGGUGUGAAACAAGCUAGUAGCAACCUGGAUGCUACUUAUUCUUUUUCUCAAACUCAAGUAGAAUUAUGAGAAAAUUCCUGUGGUGUCAAAUGGGAAAUUGGGCUCAAUUUCCACUGGCUCCAGUGGAAAAUCCAUCUCUGGAAUUGGAGAAUUGGUUGACGAAUUGUUGGCUGAGAUGAUCUCAGUAAGACCACAUUCUGAAAGUUGCUCGUUUCCUGCAAUGUUUCUCAUCUGGCUUGGUGGCAUCAAAUAGUAGUUUGAUUCGCCUGCGGCUGGAGAUAGCAAUGAAUGAUUGAAGUUGUCAAAGAAAGUGUUGUUAUCAUCAAGCAUUGAAGAUAGAAAGGCAUCAUCAGGCAUCAUACAUCCAAAUGAAGUUGAAGUGAAAGAGAAUGGAGAUGCCAUGUUCUCUCUGUCUUCCAAGAACUUGGUAUCAACUCUCAGAUUAGUCGGAAAGCUCAUUUGGAUUCCUUGAGACUGCUGUUGGUGAGAAGUAUUAUUUUGCUUGUUUCGUUUUUGUUCUUGCUGUUCUGGUGAUGGUGGUGGUAGAACUGAAUUGCUACCAUGAGAACAUGUAUGCUUUCCUUUGUAUGUGAUUUCGAAUAUCGUGGGGUCUUCAUCUGAUCUUUGCACUUGCUUUGUAGCAUAACAGCUUUGCGUGUUUCGGUAGGUGCAUCUGUAAUAGCUUCUGCAAAUUUAAACAAAAUUGGUCAUCAGAAUGUUCAUAACAAAGUGAUAUUUCUAUGAUGCAGAAGACUGCUAUAUUUCCCGUUUGUGGGUCAACCUCAAAAGACAAAGCUUUGUGCGCGUGCGUGUAAAAGGUAAAGUAUUAUAUGUUGCUUUUUGAAAUGUGGCAUCGGUGACUGUUACUGCAAAUGAUUGCAUGGUUGAAUGGAUUCGCUUAUAGGAUUUUACAACAGGAUAAGAUUAAGUAAAAAGGCACUUUAGUUACCUUGGAUGUUUGGCUCCAAGGAUGUCCUUCUGUCCAUAUUUUCUCCAGCUAUGGCCAUCUUCAUGAGGUCCUUCAAUCCCAUUCUCAGAGCUAACUCUCAUUACAUGGUCUGUCCAUUUGGCCAUGAUCUUUCUGCAAUAUGCAAAAUCAAAUUAGCAUUUGAUUUCUUGGCAUCAUAUUCUCUACAUUUAUGACUUAAUGAAUAGUAUAAGCUCACCUCUUCUUGGAGACAUCUGUGAGGUCCUGAUGAUCCUUGGGACUCUUGUUAUAGUCAUCAAAACAAGGACCUGCGUAAGCCGACACAAGAGACUCCGGCACACUGGCUAUUGCACCCGCAGUACUUUGAGCCGGCCCACUGAAGUUCAGUAUCAAAAGGGCUUUCUCAUAGGAGGACAAUAUCCUCUGCACUAAAAAUUGUCUGGUGUCUGAUGAAGAUGCUGCACUUAGACUUAGCCUCAACUGUUUUGCUAGUUCCAUCCCUUCAAUGAUCUCAGUUAGCAGUGACUUGUGCUCCCAGCUCUUACUAGAAUCCAUUUCUUCAAUUCUAUGUAUCUAUUUCUAUAUCGCAAUUGGAACUGUGAGCAAUAUAAGAUGCAGAGCUUUAGUGCUACUUCACGUCCGACAGAAGAACAUGCAUUGCCUGCAUCAGCACACCUUCACCACAUUGGCUAUGUAUGAUUGGUUAUCAAGGAGCAAAAUCCUCCCACUUAAAUCCCAGAAAGAGUAGAAGCGAACGGGAUUUGGAAGUUCCAAUUUGUUUCAAGUAAGAAGCUGUACACAUGGAAUUAGUAUCCAGAAUUUUGAAGAUUCUCUAAAUUGUGUGUGCAGAAAGAGAAGAAAGUAGAGUAGUGAAGCUGCGUAAGCCAAGAGAGUGAGAGACUUGGAUUUAAAGGAGAAAGUGGAGAUGCUAUAUAUAUACAUGUAGAGGUGACCAAUUUGAAUGGAGAAGAAAAUUAAGUGGAGAUUGGGGAGUAGAAAGUUGAAGUUUGACUGAGAAACCGAGUUAUUCAGCUCUGACUGGUCUUUGGUCAUGCAUAUAGAAAAAAAAAAAUCUACGCUGACCAUUUCCACAUCUUCUAAUUCUCUGAAUCUUUAACUUGUAAAAAGGGUCCCUCUCUCUCUCUCUCUCACAGAUGGCAACAGGGGCGGAUUGAGGCCGAAUAUGUCAUUACCAUCUCAGGGACCCAGAUAAAUGGGUUUGAUAAUUAUUUUAUUUAAGUUUUUUCCUUAAUAAAAUUAUUAAAAAUUAUAAUUUAGUACGUCUGUCUGUCGGGGGAAAAUUGUCGUCCCUACCCUCUCUCUGAUUUGUAGUUGGUGGGAUUUUUUUAUAUAUUUUUAUUUUGGAUUGCAUGAUUGAGAUUUAGAAAGGUGCUUACUAGGAAUUUUCGAACCAUAUUCCGCGUUAUUAUUUGGUAAAAUGUCGUCGCUCCCACUUCUCCCAGUAGUAGAGUAGAGUAUUGAAAUUGAAUCAAAGAGUGCAUGACGUGGCCCACAUAGUUAGAUUCCUUUUUUUUUUUUUUUUUUUUUUUGUUGCUUGGUUAUCUAGAACAUCGUCUUUCAUAUUAGAUGUCUUCUCUGCAGCCGCGUUUUUGUGGAAGAAAAAACAGAAGUGAAAAACUAUUUGGUAUUUGUUUAAUAAUUAAUUGGUCAAAAGGUCUUGAAGAACUUGGACAAUCUUACGGCCUCAAUCUGAAUUUGGAUCCCUUUGACGGGGUUAUUGGCCAUGAUUCUUAUGGUCGUUGUAUCCUUUGUUUACUAUACCUAAAAACUACGUAUUACAUAGACACUUGCGUAUCAAAAAUUAGAAAUGCAUUAUAAAUAGGGUGAAUUCAAUACAUCGCGCUAAGAUGUCAUGCGAUAUAUCAAAUAUAUGUGGUCGGUUUUGAGAUGUGACAAUAUAUCAGCUUCAAAAUGAUUAUAUACAAGUUUCAAAUAAAAUUAUUUCAAUGAUUCGUCAAUAGAAUAAGACUAUAUAUAUAUAAUGGUAAUUUAAUUACAAUGUCCAUGAUAUUCGUUUGUUGCUUGGAAUGCCUGGUGCAACUGACCCAAAUUCAUCAGUUUUGUUAGUUGGCUUGAUGAUAAGUUAUCAUCAUUACUCCAUUUGACUUCUUGGUUUUUCUAAUUUAAUUUCGUCAACUUUAAAACAAGCGCGUGUAUUCAUUUGAGUCGAACAUUUAUUAUAAAUAUACGGUAAUACUAAAAAUAUUAGAAUCCAGAUUUGCGAAUCUCUUGUUGGAAGUUUUGUCAAGUUGAGUGGAAAAAAUCGAUUGAUUAUUAUUUCAACUUAAACAGGCAAUUGCAAGUUGUUUGUGUGUGGGUACAAAAAUUUAACAAUUGAAAUUGACGUCCAAGCUACCUCUAUGUCGGGGAGAUAUAUAUAGUCCCAUUUCAUCGGGGAAUUCCAUAAAUAAUUUUAUUUGAAUUAUACUCUUAGGGUAUCCUAUGAAUUUUUUUCCAACAAUCCAAAUCAUCAAUUUUUUUAAGUCUACAUUCAUAGAUCAUUCUUGCAAAAAAUUAGACAAAUCAGAAACCAUUUCGAUAUCCAAUUGUAUCCUACAAAAUCAAUUAACACAGUGCUUCAAGAAAGUACUAAAAUUUUAAUAACACAAUUGAGUGGUCAAACAAAAUUGAAUUCCAAUGAUUUUUAAUAGGGAUGAUCUUUGAAUGAUUAUCUAAAACAUAGACUGUUUAAAUUAGUGAAAUACAAUGCGAAGUGAGCCUUACAAAUGUGUCAUUCAAAUAAGCUAAUUUGAGGGAUCUCUCGAUGGAAGCUUUACAUAUACAUCACAUAUUGUAUAACCCAAGCUAACCUAUGAGAGACUGAGUCGUCCCAGAUCCCCAUCCGGCGAAAGCCACAUGGGAUUUAGUCCCAGCUGGACCAAUGACAGCUACGUUAGCCUCCACACAAUCCAUACACUACGAUUAUAUAUAUAUAUAUAUAUAUAUAUAUAUAUAUAUACGACAUGUUGCUUUGUUUGAGUUCUGUCGUAGGCUUUUCUCAAAAACAUAUACUAUAUUUUUGUGGCAAUGAUCGUACCUUUAUAGGCUUUUUCCAACUUCACUUUCAUAGGUAAGUGUUUUUUUUUUUUCUUUCUUAAAAGACCUUUUUUAUUGAGAAAGACGAUAAUAUAUUAAAGAGAUAUUUAGUGAUAUACUUAUUCUUAGCACUAAUAUUAUAGAUAAAUCUUACACCAUUGAAUUUUUAUAAACAAGCUUAAAAAAAAAAAUCAAAAAUUGACAGCUGGCCUUAUUGAAUUUAAUAUUUAUUAUUAAAUUACUUUGAUGUCAUAUUGAGUGUUUUGGGUAUUUUUAUGAGAUUUUGGGGUUGGACUUAUUUUAAGAAAUUGAUGACAGUUUUGUAAUUUAUUAGAAGUUAAAAACCUCUUUGUUAUGUUGUAAAUGAGUUUUGAAUGUGUUUUGGGUAUAAUAGUAAAUCUCCCUAUAUUAAACUCACACACUAUACAAACUCAAACCCAGAACAUUUCUUACUAGUGAAUCCUUUGCAAGGUAGGUUAGAUUUAGUUUUAUAUUGAAAUCAUGUAUUUGUUAACCAAUUGAAAUAUACUCAAUGGUGCAUACGUGUCGCGACACAUAGCUAUUAUCAGACCAAAAAGUGGCUUUGCCCUCUACGAACUCAGUUAUAAUAAAAAGCUGUGAACCUAUAAAGAUGUGCUCAAGAUAUUUGAUCCAAAUGAUGUUUUUUUAUAAUCAAAAUACAUGACAAACCGCUUUAGCAUUUCUCUAUAUUAAAUAUUAUAUUGUACGAGGACGGAGGAAAGUAUAGGAGCAUCACUUUGACGUGAACAUUUACGAUUAAAAAUUAGUUUGGAACUUAUUCAGUGGCUGAGGUGGAUAAAGAAAAGCCAUAACAAAUUUUUUUUUUUCCUGCUCAAGGAAUAAAUAAAGGUUUGCAUAUAUAUGAUAUUUUCAAUUUUGCACGUCAUAAUGUAAAAGCAGAUUCCAAGAUUGAUAAAUAUGUAAAAACAAAAGAAAAAAGGAACCCCACUGACCACUUGAUCGCCUAUAUAAGAGAUCUAACCAAACAGCCUUCCACCACCAAGAGAGCUCAAGAACACUUAGCUACUAAAAAACCAAAACCCUUUUUCAAUCUCCUUUGUGAGUUAACUAAAAUGGCCUCAACGCAACGCCACAACAAGCCAGCAGCCAAGGAGGGCUCAUUGGGCCAUAAGGUUUCUGAGAUUGCUGGCUUUCUGAAAGGAGGUCACCAUGGAGAACACAACAGCAGCAGCAGCCACACUACUAGCACCCAAUAUGUCUUAGCCACCCCAGCAACUAAUGGGCAGCAUGGGCUGAACCAGCACCAUGCAACUGGAACCAAGAAGAGGGGUGAGCGCAAGAACAACAAGACAGGUGGCAGCCGAAAUCUCCUUCAGAAGAUCAAGGAUGGAAUUUCUGGCCAUAGCAGCAGCAGCAGCAGCAGCAGCAGCGACAGUGAAAAUGAAGGCUACCAAAAGAAGGCAAGUGAUUUAAGUGUAUAUCAAUAACAUAUGGAAAUAAUGCAAAACUAACUAUCUAACUGUGGGUUUAAAGAUGUUUAUAUUGUCAGACAGUGAAUAUCUUAGAUAUUCGUGGAUGUUCUUGAUGCCUGUUAAUGAUGUGUUUAUAAUGUACAUUUGUGUGGAUUUUGCAGAACUAAAUGGAACAGAUGUGGGAGAUCAGCAUCAACUAAAUAUCAGGGACAGGGGAAGGAAGAUGUGCCUCAUCAUCACUAUAUAUGAUAACUCAAGUACAAGUAUAUACCAAGUGUAAAAUACAAUAAUGGCCUUCCUGGCUUCUGAUCUCUCACCACUUGGUUAUCUAUAUAUGAUACAAGUGAAAAUAUAUAUAUGUAUAUGUCUCUGUCUCUGGCUCUCAAAAUAAAGUUAUUUUCGUGCGAUAUAUAAUAUAUUAAUGCUUCAUCCAAUAAACAUUCCCGAAAUUGAUGUGGCUCGGUGGAAAACAACACGAGAACGAAUGACAGAAGAAUGUAUGCACUCCAAACAUAUCGUCUUUGCAAUAAUAUACGCCAUGUCAUGUGAUAGAUUUUUGCCAUUAAUAACUUGAAACAAAUGAAAUGUUUGGAUCAAUCACAAGUUACCGACAUCAUGCAGGCACAUGGCAGUCAUUGAUUGGUGUAGGUCCCCAAGGUAGCUAGGUUUCUCACCAAAUCAGGCCAUUCGAAGAGGAAGUCACAUCUCAUCACAAUGAAGUUAAGGGUGGAUGGUGAGAAUAAUAAUUAAGUUACAUAUACUGAAUUUAUAAUACCUUGGAAAUUCAUGGUACUUUAACGAUUAUGGAUUAAAUAUCGAUAAUGUAUCAAGCACUGUAACGUACAUGAGUAGUCAUGUUGUUUUAUAAGAGCUAAAAAACUAUCUUACAAAACAUUCCGCUCUAGCUCACUGCUUUUGAGCACCAAGCAACCACAACAAAGCUUAAGAAAAACUAGAUGCAAGUAAUUGAGAAAGUAAUUGUUGGGUUAAACUCCAAUGGCAGAAACUUUUCAUGCGAGUACUUUUCGUAACGGAUAGGUCAAAAUUCAACAGCAGAUACAAAAUAAGCUAAAUAAAUCAGAUGAUGAAAGUAUAUAUAAGAGAGAGAGAGAGAGAGAGAGAGAGAGAGAGAGAGAGAGAGAGAGAGAGAGAGAGAGAGAGAAGGAUGAAGAGAGAAUUCAAUAUUUUUUGAAAAGGAAAUAUGAGAUGGCAUCAUGAAAUCUUAAUUCUUGAUGUAUAAAUCACGUUGUGAUAACUUAUAUGUCCUAAUUGGAGCUUGUAGCUCAAGUAGUUGAUAAUGUCUAUUUCAAAACAAGGUCAAAGUUCGAAUCAUGCCUCAUUUAUUCUUCCUGUAAUUUUUUUAUUUAUACAAGCAAUAGUCUAAACUAUAAGGUGGAGCAAGGGCGGAGCUAGGAUUUUAUAUUUGAGGGGGCCAAAAUGUUAAACACAAAAAGUUUAGUUUCAUAUUUUUUUUUGCCUAUUGAGUAAACUAUUGCUUACAAAAGCACUAAAUUGAAAUGAUUGGUUUUCUUUCAUAAAUGUAGUAUGAUUUUACUACUAUAUUCAUAUUAAAAUACAAUUUUGACAAGUAUUGAUUUGUGGUGAGGGGGCCAUAGGCUUAAGUAUAGCAAUUUUUCUUUGCAUUUGUUACCACAUCCAAUAUAUACAUUCAAAAGGGUUAAAUAAAUUGGAGGGGCCAGGGCCAUCCCAGGCCUUAGUACAGCUCCGCCCCUGGGUGGAGGGGAGUUUCACACACACACACUACUAAGGUGCUAUAGGGAUUCGAACUAGAGACCACUGAUCUGCAGCUCAAGGCCCUCUUCUACUAGACUAGACCCCAAUAGCAUCCUCCUUGUUAUUUUUUUUAUAAAAAAGAAAAGAAAAACUGAGAUGCCCUUGUUAUGAAAAAUGACCCAAAAAAGAAGUUAAUAAUUAGAUAAACGAAUCUCCAUGGUGGAAAAAAGAAAACAAGAAGAAAAAAAAUGGAGACAAGUAAAGCCGAAUCUAAUUUAUCUUGUCCCUUGUAUUGAUGUAUCGAAGGACUGUACAUCCGGGAAUUUCAAAAGAGGGUAUGGGACCAUCGGUAACGUGUUGCAUUUUCACUCUGAUCAAAUUCCAAUCUCCACUUAUUCCUUUUCCUUUUGUUUUUGGAAAUAAAAUAUACGCGUUUUCUUUUCUACAUGAUCCAUUUGUCACACAAAUAUCAUUAUUUUUGGUUAAAACUAUGCUACCGGCAAUUGCGCAUAGAAAGAUGGUGCAGAAGUAGUAAAGCUAAUAACUCUUCAGCAAAUAAUAGACAGAUAAACCAAUAGCAUAAUGAAGUUGCAGAUUGAUAGUACAAAAACAGCAUGAGCAGUUCACAUCACAAAACACAGCAAGCAGUUUAUGGCACAAAAACAGCAUGAGAACAGAAUCCAUAGACAACAUGAUACAACCCUUGAUUUACAUGGAAACUUUUCUUUGCAAUAUAAAGUGUCACCUUUCUCCAAGAGACCCUGACAAAAAGGAUGCUAGGGCCUGAAGAGCAAGAUCUUCAGCUUCGUCUUGCGUUAACCCAGUGGUUUGCAGAUGCUUCUUUCCAAUCUUGAAGGAGUGGUCACCACCAUCAAUCACAUGCAAACCACUAGGGCAUUUCAUCUUCUUGCGUGUAACUUCUAGCUUUUCCAAUGGACAGAGCGCAUCUUUACUACCCUUCAUGAAACAUAAUUGUAGCAAACAACAAGACACUUGUUAGAGAUAGAAAACUUAAGAAAGGCAUUGUUAUCUAACUGUAAAAGGAACUUUCAUUCAGCAAGGAUAAUAUAUAGAAAGAAAAUGAAAAUCUCAGUUUGGUCAUUCUAUAAGAAUUGGUACGAGAGAGCUGAAGAAUUAUAAAUCCAAAACAUUAAACCAAAUAUUUUAUAUUGAAUCUAUACAGUGCAGUAGUUUGCAAUUGAUGACCAGGAGGCACUACGAAAAAUAAAAAGAAAACUUGAUUCUAGAGAAAAAGAAAUACCUGUACUAGCAUUAUGGGAACAGAAAGUUGCAAAAGUAUUUCAUCUCGCACUGCUCCAUUAAUUCCCUGAAAUUUAAGAUACCCAGAUCAGACACAAUCGGUGGCAUAUUUAUGUAGUUCGGAGAAGUGCAAAGGGGAAAGGGAACACUUGUAGGUCACAACAUCAAUUGCUAAGGUUCCAAUGAAUGCAGAAUUUCUUCUUCAAAGAAUACAGAUAAUUUUGUCUCAACUAUUUUCACCUUCUAGUUUGUGUUAUUGAAGAUUUACUGCACGAUGAUUUCAUGCCAAUAACCCAAAAGAAAGAAGGAAAAAACAAAAGCAACAACAAAAUAAAGUACAUAAUGUGCACAAAUGAGAUGUGGGGAUAACAGCAGAACUCAGACCUUUAGCGGGUAUCCUAAGCAAAGUAUUGCUGAAGCACGAAUGCCUUCCUUGCAAGCUACCAUACAGCUGACCCUAAAGACAAAUGAAAUCCAAAAAUCAUAAAAAGAAAGCACAAAUGAUAAGUAGCAAAGAAAUUCAUUAUCAUUAACAUGUUAGAGUACUAAAAUGAAAUUCAAAUUUAAACAUAAACAAGGGAAACACAGCAGAGCUUCAUGAAUUGUCCAUAUUUCUAGAGUUGAGCACUGCAGCCAAUAUAAGAUGCAUACACUACACAACUGUUCACCCAAAAUAAAGCUCUGCAGAGAUCAAUAUACAUCUUUCAAAAGGGUAUCUCCAGCAUUACUUGAUUGCAUAGAGACUACCUUCUACUAAUAGAAUUUUAGGCUACAUCAAGUAAUCUUCAGUAGAAAGUAGAAGGAUUAUAACCUUGAACCCAUAGAUUUCCCGGCCAAAAUCAACGGAUGACCCGGGUAUUUAGCAACAGCCUUUCCGACAACAUCGGCGUGAAAGUCGACCAACUUUUCAGCCUUCGGAGGGGCCCUCCUUUUCCCACCCGAAAUGUCUGCCAAGCAUCAAACUUUAAGAUUAUACAAAAGAGAUAACAAACUCCAUGUAUAACCCAAAGCACCAUAUGUACCCAGUAAACCGAGAUUUUAGCAAAAUACAAAUGAACUUACAUGGGUAAUCAAAGGUAACAACUUCAACAGCAUGUAGUGCUUUUCCCAACAUAUCCUUCCACCUAAAUAAAACUCAAAGCUUCAAGCUUUUUACUUCAACAUUUCUUUUCCACUAUUUCAAAAAAGAAAGAGAAGAGAGACCUGAUCAUCCAGUCAGAAGAAGAGGGAGCACCAGCACCAUGAGCAAAGACCACCACAGGGGAUAAUUUCUCCAGUGUGGAUGAAGAUGUUGCUGACAUGUCGUUUGCAUCGUCUUUGCUCUGGUCCUUACGCCUGCGUUUUGAAGGGGGUGAUGAAGCCAUUCCCAGUCAAAGAACCCUUUGAAAUGAUUCCCAAUUUUCAACCUGAUCGAAACCCUAGAUAUCAGCCCUGAACUGAUUUUCGCGCCAAAUGUUAGGAAAGACGAAGACCCAACUAAAAGAAUGUGCUGCGCGCCACUCGGCGUCUCCUUACAUACGGGUUGGGUUUUUCAAUCAAUACAUUGGAUUGGGUUUAGGCUGAGCAAGGCCCAAUUUGGUUCAAUCCUGAAAUUAUCUAUUUUUAUAAUGCAAUAUUUUAAUUCUUUGAUUUACGGGAAGGGGAUUCAAACCCCGUGCAAGGGUUACAUUACCUAGACUAAUUGAGCUAACUCACAUCUACAUAGCCUGAAAUAUCAAAACUAUUCUUUACGGUUUGCUCUUUUUAUAUUCUUUUUAAUUCCUCGAUCAAUAUAUAUGAGGAGCAAAUUUCAAAAUCUUUUUCAAGUAUUAUAUAUAUUGAUUAAAUCAUUUACGCAUUUAGAAGCUCCUCAAACACAAGCAAUGGUACUCUGUUUGGUGUGAGGCGAUAAUGAGGAUUUACAAUGAGGAAUUCUUAAUAGCCGUUUGAUUAAUGAAAAUGUUAUUAUUAAACACUAAAUUGGAUCCUUCAACACAGCCCCUCAACAUAGACCCUAGUUAUAGAAGCUCCCGUGAGUUUUGACAAUCUCAAAAAUUGUCUCAAAAGUUGCCUUAAAACCCAAUUUGCAAAAUUGAGAAGUUCCAUGAAGAAUCAAGUGUGCAGCGUAGCUCAAGUUCGCAUGCCCCAUCACGGCCCAAUAUCCUUGAAAAAGAAGCAAGGAUCCCAAUUUUUGGUGGGACAGAGGGGCAUAAAAACCCAGAAAAAGACAAAAACAACUAAACAGUAUUAAUCAUAUGGAUCUUAGUAACCCCUAUUGAGUCACCCAUCAACAGAGGCCCAAGCCAAGUUGGAUUUUCCUCAAGAAACCAGCAACCCAGGUCGCUGUUGUGGCUCCAAGCAGCCAAUCUAUCAGCCACUGCAUUCUUCUCUCUGUAAAUGUGUUGAAGUUUACCUCUUGGGAUCUAGCUCAAAAGUCUCUUGCAGCUGCUACCCAAUCCAGUCGUAGGAUGACAGUUGUUCAGCUCAUUACUUAGGAUAAGAUUCACGACUGUGACAGAAUCCAUUUCAACAACAAUAUCCAUUAUGCUUCUUUUAAUAGCUAAUUUUGGAUCAAAAAAUAAUCCCCACAGCUUAGCUUCAAGGAUUUGCCCUUUCCCAAGUUGACAGCGAAUCCACCAAUCUAGUUACCCCAAAUGGUCUCUAAUAACUCCUCCAGCACCAAUGGAACCCGUACUUCUCUGGAGAGAUCCGUCAACGUUUAGCUUUAACACACCAUUCUUGGGGGGUUCCAAGCCAAACUAACCUGGAUUUUACCACCUCCCAACUGAUUAUUUAUAGAGGCUCUGAUCCACUCCUUGGCAGCAGACAGUAUCGGCUUGUUUAGGCCUAAAUUCCGCACGCUAGCCCAUCUAGGUACUGGGAUAUAUCGACGAAAGGGGUUUGGGCCUUGUUUUACAGAAAUUGGAAAUCAGCCCAGGAUAUUUUAGAAGCCCAUACCAUUUCGAACCAAUUCCAGAAUAAAUCUUCACAUGUUAAAGGUUAAUUACCAUUAAGGGUGAUUGAAUAUGAAAAAAGCUAGAUUCAAUUGGUUUAAUUAAAUACCCAGCUUCUGGAUUUUUUUUCCCAAGGGCUCAAGGUUUGAUCAUCACCAUUGAUUACUAAAUUCAAAGAUCAGAUCAGCAGAUAUGGGGGAGGAUUUUUCUUUCCACAAUACCCAUGUGAUCCCAAUGACAAGACGUCAACAGAAGAAAGAGCAGAGGACGUGUUGGGGAGUUGGUAGAAAGGUGAAAUCGGAAAACCACUCCCCAUAACCAUUAAAUGCAAGAAAAGAGGGCCAAGUUUCCUCCAUUUACUCGUGAAGGCCUUAUUAGUACAUACUUGGUUUAAAAGAGACAAAGAAAGAAAUAAGAGAGUUGGUUGUUAGAAAGUUAAAACUGAUCAUCAUGAAAAUGACUCUUGAUGGGGGUUCUUCUUGUCAGAUUAACUACUACCCUUUUUUGCGCUGGAACAGAAAAUCCUCUCAACAAUGUGUCCUCCAGAUAUUAAGGAAUAAUCACUCAUGCAGAUUUCCUACAAAUAUAGGAGGAUUUGAACAGGAUAGAGACAGCAAAAUCCAAUCAAAACAAAAACUCUUAGUCAUACUGACAAAAUCAAGUAAGAUCACAUGAUUCCAAAAGCUUUUAGACUUUGAAGUAACCAAGCUCUUUGGUUUGCAAAAGCCAUCCAGCCUCUGACGAAACAGGCAAAACUCAGACUUCUAACUACAAUUCAGUUCAAAGAAGCAGUUCACAAAAGAAACGAGACUUCUCUCGUUACAAAUUUGGUUCAGAGCAGAUGAAUCAAGUGAAGUUCGGGUUUUUCAUAAUAUGAAAACCUCAACAAAUUUCCAGAGAUAUCUUGAUAUCUCAUAAUUGCCUUUAUAGCUCUUAGAGGAUUCACAGUCAAGCAAAAUAGGUACUAAAGUACAGUCCUAGAUCAGCAAUCGUCAAUCCAGCCACUUCCAGUCCAAUCUAGAUUGAAGAGAUCUCAGUUCUGCCCAUUCAAAAAACCUCUCCAUGGCUAAAUUUGAUUAAAGCUCUGCCAAUCUCAACAUUGGUAUCGAUUUCCAGUUGAACCCCAUCAGUUAAAGAUGCUGAUGUGCAAUUUCAGCACAGGUAUAUCCAAUCUAGCCUAAGUCAUAGACAACAAUCCAAGCAGAAAUCAAAGCCCAAUAUCUUGAUGUCCUUCCGGACUUGGCAGUUCUCUUUUGUUUAAAUUGUGUAAUAGGCAGUUCUCUUUAAAACAGUUUGAUUUAUUUCAAUAUUCAUUUUUGACUAGACUUACUAGUUUUACUGUGAGAAAUAUAAAGUCCUCACCCACUUAGGCAAGAAAAGAACUUACUUGGGAGAUAUUCCUCACCCAAAUUCACAAUCACUUGAUCAAAGUCAAUAGCUUGGGCGAAAGUUAUUAAAUUUUUAUAAGUCUGUUAGGGUUUUUAGCUGCUAACAGUGGCACGCUCGCACACAAAAGAAAAUUAAUUUGUUGAUUACCAAUGGUUUCCAAGUCAAUGAAAAACCUUACCCUACCACCACAGGAACUACAUCAAAAUGGAUAAACACAGCUCUCGCAAACCAUCCUCAUUUUUUAAGGUAAAACCAUUUCUCCAUUUCCAGAUGUGCCAGCAGAUGACACCAAACAGAAUUUUCCAAGGGAUCGGCAGAACUUAUUCUUAGAGCGAAAGUUGCCGAGCAGCCAGGUUAAUAAAUAUGAUAGGUCAUUGUCCACUAUGACAUCUGAUUGAAACAAUGUUCUCUGCCUCUAGUUUCUUGCCACAAUACAUUGCAGUCCAUGGUAUCCAUCUAUCAUCACUAGCUGUAGCACAAAAAGCAUUUUGCCACAUGCUGAAUGCUUUAGAAAACUGUGGCUGAUCAUCCAAUUGAGUUAUGCCAUUGGCUGUGAAGAUAGAAAGCAAAAGCUAAGAUUAUAUUACAAGGUGGGAUGGGAGGAAUGUCAAACAGGAAUUGAAUUUAUAUCUGCAUUGACCUCAAUUGUGAAUAAGAUCAAAGAUAACCUUGAGAGAUGCCCCAUGAGAACCUAAGCUACUUUAAUUUUAUUCUUCUGCUCAAAGAUAAGCCUAAUUGCCUUGCCAAGGUUCUUAAGAGCCAACCCCCUUUUGCUUACGACCACAAAAGCUUCAAGUUGUACAAAUUUGAUUGGUCAGAAAAAUUUGGGAAAUCCACCUUGGAUUGGUGCUUUUGCUUAUCACUACUUUUUAUUUAAUUAAAUUUUUUAAAUGGGAUUAUAGAUAUGUAGACCCCACCAAUAUUGACUAACAGCAAUGUUUAAUUAUCCUUUCGCAAAAAAAAGAAAAGAAAAAAAAGCAAUGUUUAAUUAUCCCCACAUAACCUGGUGCUUCGUUUUUGUCUUUUUGUGGCCUUAAGGGCUCUAUAAAGGGGCUUCUAAGCCAAUGCUUUCUUCAACAAAUAAGAGCAAAGCUAAUGAGCAAGGAGUUGAAUUGAAUCUUUUAACAAGGCAUUGAUUGCUCACUCUCCCUCAAGGGCUUCUCAGCUUAAGGCAAUGAUAUUACACCAAGGUCCUUAGUUUUAAGGGGCACUUUGGUAUGUUUUAGGCUAUGAAGCUCGUUGGGGGGGAAUGACCAAGCUUUUGCCUCAACUUAUAGCAGGGUGUGCAAGGCAUUUUCUACGGAUCAAAAUCCAAGGCAUUUUUGUUGCUCACUCUCCCUCAAAGGCUUCUAGCAAUGUCAGAAAUGGCGAGCUCGAAGCCUUUGGGGAGAGUAAACAAAAAAUGUCUUGAUUUAUAUUAUAUGGCAAACCACAUUUGAUGGUGAGCAUCGGAGCUCAGAGGCUUUUCUUCUUGAUUUGCUUUUUGGAAAGGUGAGUGAUGCUUACUAUUUUCACGUCUAGCUUAGCUAGCUAGCUCAUGUAAUAAUUACUGGAAAUUUAAAAUAUCACACAAACUUUACCUGCAUAUAGAUGCAUGCUCACACACACACACAUAUAUAAUCAACAACAUGCAUGCAUGCACCAUACAUUUGGAGAGAAAAUUUGUACAUUUCAAAUAUUAUAUAUAUAUAUAUAUAUGUUCUUCAUAUUAAGGAAAAAUGUUUGGUUACUAAUGAGUCAUUCUUAAGCUUAGAACAAAUGCUAAAAAAAUUCUUUUUAAUUGAAGAAACGUUGUGAUGAACUUGAUAAUUAAGAUUUAUCUAACAAUUUAACUCAAGUUAUAUUCAUCAUGAGACAUUUAUAACGCGUGUAUAAUUAUUAAUAUAUAAAAGCACUAUUAAACUCAAAAAUAUUAGUGAACCUAUGUAUAUCGUGUACGGUAAUAAUUUGUGUGUAACACCAUAUCAAUAUGCAAGGUAGUUUUGCCGCAGCACAGUAAUUUUUCCUUUCAAAGAUACGAGUCCAGACUCCAAAUAGAGUGUUGAGAAGGGGAGGGGUGGGGGUAGAGUUGCCCUUUCGUUACAUCCAGGUUUCCCGCUGCAUGUAUAAUAUGGCUCUUUCAUGAGUUGACUGGUCCUUGAUGCAUAUAAAAUAAGGAAUCUUUUCAUUACAGGAAAAACAAAACUUUUUUCAAAUUGCAUCGCUAAUCUCUAAUGCAACAUGAUAACUUAUUGGAUGUGAACAAACAAUUCAAUUUCCACAGCUGCCUCUCAAGAAGAGAGAAUCGGAAAACCAGCUUUUUCUUUGGGUAAUUAGAAGAAACCAACAUGGCUGCUUGAUUAGUACUACUAAUAUUUGCUUAAGGAGAAAACAAGUAGAAACAUUAUUUUUAUAAUAUUGAAGGUCGGCUAAGGCUACUUACAUGUACAAAUAAAUCACAAUCUGAUACAUAAACUAAAAACACACACACAAAUUAUGCGCUUGUAAUUUGUUCGGAAGAAAAAAUGGCGAGUAUUUUUCACACGUGAAUUAUAUCUGACGAGUCAGAGUGAAGUGAAGACUGAAGUGGUUGUACAAACACUGAUAAGCAGAAGUGCACAUGGAAAAAUGUCAGGUAUCUCUCAAACCUUGUUGAAAAAUGGAAGUUACAACCAUCUCUGCCCUGCUUCCUUUAUAACCUUAACUAGAUAAAGUAGCUGCUACUGCUGCUAGUCCCCUCCACUGUGCCCAGGGCCACCACUUUCCCUCCCUCCCUCCCUCCCUCCUCAAAUUAUAGGGGGACAGGAAUCUCUCUCUCUCUCUCUCUCUUUUUCCUCUGUUUGGUAUUCAAAAUUCUUCUUUUUCUUUCAUGUGACUUGUGAGCCUAAUAUAUGAACAACAUUUUUAAAAAAAAUGUAUGUAAAAAACAUGAACUUGUUUGGAUUAAAUGAUAUUAAUUUUAUGGAUUUACAUCUCAAACUUUUUCUGGAUAUCAAAAGCCAUAUAACUCUGACUGGAUGAAAUGCCAGAAACCAAUGAUUCAGAGAGAGAGAGAGAGAGAGAGAGAGAGAGAGAGAGAGAGAGAGAGAGAGAGAGAGAGAGAGGGAGAGAGGGAGGGAGGAUCCAAGGAUGAUUAUUUAUAAUAGCAUCCCUAAAUUGGUCGAGUUCACAUAUUUUCCUAGAUUUUACCAGCACUUAAUCUUGAAGUUAACCCUAAUCACACCCAAAUUAACCUACAGCCAUAGAACUAAUCCCUCGUACGAACCUCUUCUGAUCUGCUGUCUGCUACAUUAAGCAAGCUCUUGAUUUUUCUCCACAAGUCUCACUUCUUUUGCAGAUCUAAGAACACUGGCCUGACAAAAAGAAAAGAAAGAGCUUAAUUAAUCAGUUUUAAAUUAACAAUGAUGCAUUAUUAUAUGAAUCACACACCUGGUCAUCAGUAAUUUCCACAGCAAACCCAUCAACGAUGACCAGAGACAAUGUCUUCUUGUAGCUUCCUGGCUCAAGGGUUCUUGCCAACAACUGGUCAUGCUUCCGGCUUAGAUACAAAUCAAGCUCAUUUGUCCCUCUCUUUGUUCUAUGUAUAAAUAAGCAUGUAUUUUUAGAUAAGGAUACUUAUGAAGAAACAAGAGAAGAAGAUGAGCAGCAAGGAGAAGCAAUAUAUACUUACCGAUUAGCUCGAAGGCGUUCGUAUUGAGGAUCGUAGUUCAUGAAAACAAAGUAUGAUUCGAUUUUGGUGUCUUGCAUUGUGGCUAAUUCUAACUUUCUGUGCUCUUUCUUCUUCUAGGGUUAUUGACUGAUGGGCAAUGUGGCCUCAUCUAGUUCUACAUGAUGCUUAUUUAUACUUGAAGUCAUCACAAGAGGCCUACAUUUUUGUUUACAUUAUCAAGUCUAACUUUUUAAGACAAUAUUAUUACAAGAUUUAAGUCUACACACUUAUAAUACGCUACGAAUAAUUUGACUAAAUUACGAUAAAAAAUUCAAAUUUCAUUAUAUUUUUUUGAAAAUAAAAUAUAAUAUAGAAUAAUACUAGACACACGAACUAUUUCAUUAAAUGUUGGGCAAAUAGUACAGUUGCAAACUCAAUUAUCUACUGGGGAAGAAAUUGGAAUCUAAAUAUCUAUUGGGUUGGGAGACAAUAAUGGGGAUGCUUCUAUGGCAACAUUAAAGGUAUUGCCAUCAUUCACACUCGGAAGUUUCUUGCCUAGUGUUUGAAAAAUACAAUUUUAAAUGUCGGCCACACGCUUGCAGUAUAAAAGUCAACACUUAUUAAACAACUUUUUCUUUUUUACAGAACAUUUACGUUAUUUCUACCUAUCUUCCCUAUUUUUUAAUCUGUUUUAUUUUUUCACCGACCAUAUAAAUUUAUAAAAAUACAAUUUUAUAUUUUCAUUCUCCUAAAAUAAUAUUUAAUUAUUAAUUCAAAUAAAUUCCUAUCUUUAUAAAGAGAUAGUAUUAAAUUAAUUCAAUCAAAGCUCCCCCACCCACCCAACCUGAUCAGCACCCUAACCCCGCCGGCGUCAACCACCCCUCUGCUAGCCGAAAACACCGUGUUUUCUCUCUCUUUCUUUUCCCACUCCCACAAGACAGACUAGAUAAAAAUUACGGCUACAAGUCCUCUUCAAAAGUCUAGAAUCUCUAGAAAUAUCAAAAAAGGAAAACCUGUCAAAACAAAUUGCGCUUAGAAUUUUGCCUCUGUAGGAAGGUAGGGUCUGCAUCAGUAUCAACAAACAAAUCAGAUUCUUUUUCUUCUCUUCCUUUUAUGGUUUUACCCAAGUUUGUGUGAGAAGAUGCAUCUUUUCUUCCUCUAGUAUCUGAAUCAGUGCCACCAAGUGGAACUUGUUUGGAUUGGCACAUAACAUAUAGAGAGAGAGAGAGAGAGAGAGAGAGAGAAAGAAAGAGACAGAGAGAUAGAGUGAGAUAGAUAGGAAAGGAGGAUUUGUCGAUGGCAAGGGGGGAGGGGGUCGCUGCCGGCGAGGUGGGAUGGCUAACAAGUCGGUGGGUGGGGGACUUUUGGUGGCUGUUGGGUUUUUGUUUUUGUUCUUAAAAUAAUUAGUUUUAGUUUUUUUAUAUACCAAAAGUUAAGGGAAAUAGCAGCACUCAUUCUCUAUUAGCAAGUAUUAAUUAUAGGCUAGCAAGAAGCAGGUGUGUGGGUGGUGCCUAUUAAUUCUUAAGCAAUUUGAUUAGAGGCAGUAAUUUUUUCCAUUAAGAUAAUUAAUAAUGGAUUCAAUAUUAGAAUAUGUCAUCUGGAUACCGACGGUGACAAAAAAGAGGAUCAUAGAGCCAUUAACCAACUGAUUAGUCAUUCUCUAAUUAAUCUUUUUAGCCAAUAUAGCAAUGACUCGGAAGUCAAAGAUGAAACUAAUAAUACUUUGAUUAUACAAUUAAUUAUCUUGUCAAACAAAACUUUUACUCCAUCAAACAGUGUGCCCUUUACUUUUGUGUGUAUAUGCACGUGUGCACGCAAUGUUUGUAUAUAUAAAUCACACUAAUACAUAAUUUUAUAUUUUAUAAAAUAAUUUAUAAAAAUAAUUUUUAAAUGAAUACUUAAAAAGUAGACAGUUCGAAUUAUUAAAAUACAAUAGAGUGAAACUGUGCAAGUGGCCCUCAAAAAAAUUGUAUGUGUAUAUAGUGCAUGAACCAAUGUAAAAGAUCACAUAAAUUGAAGAAGGAAAAAUAAAUUAAUUUGCUCUGCCUAGUCUUCAAGUUUGUACAAAAAUUAAAUGCCCUUUAAUUAUAACAUCUAGAAGAAACAUUGGGAAGCUUUAUCUACAUGAACAUGGAUAUGAAAAAACGACCCCAUACAUGGCUCUUAUUAUUGGCUGGAAACAAUAAUCGAGAAGAUAGAGUAAUAAUGCCAAAAAGCCCAUCAUGUGAAUGGGGGAAUUCAUAGGGUUUAUUUUUUACUUGAUUAAUCAAUCUGAAAUCAGUUUUCAAAGUCAUAGGAUCUACCAAAGUACCUUCGUAAUCAAAAUGAGAUGAUGUGUUGGAAUUGGUCAAGUCGUAAAGACUGCCAAGUGCAAUGUAUGUGGGUAGGGCUCUAGUUGAUUUAUCAGAAAUUAAGCGGAGAAUUUGAAUUUAUUGAGAUAUGGACUCGUUUAGUUGUGAUUCUAAAUAGACUAGAAUUAUUUAUAAGAAAAAGCACAUUCCACGUGCUUCUCCAUAUAAUCAUUUAGAAUCACUCACAAAUGAGUUCAUAAUUGAUGUUAGGGAUUUGUUUUGUUAUUUCGGGUGUUUAGCCCCUUGUUAGCCAUAGAAGGUGAUUUGUCUUCUGAUUUUAUAAAUAUAGAUUCACGAAAAAUGUUAAAAUGUUUAUAAUGGAGAGGCAUAGUAAAAUGCAAGUAGACAAAAAGACAUGUACGCACAUGACAGCAACUACGUAGUCCUGUCUAGCUCAUUCGCCAGAAUCGUACGUACGUGCAAACAAGUGCAAGUGGAAGGGGUCAACACCAAAUGUACGAACUCCACGUGUCAGUGAUUGAGCUUGUGAAAGGGUAGGGUGGACACUAGACACCCUUUUCAGAUUCUUCCACACAGAGAGAGAGAGAGAGAGAGAGAGGGAACUCUGACUACUUCUCUGUACUCUACUUGUGAGUUUGCUCUGUCAGUCACAUGGUAUGCUGAGUUAUCUUUUGAAUUUAAUGCAUAAAUCUACUUGUGGCCUACAGACUCAAGCAAAAUCUCAUAUAUAUAUUGUGACGAUGUGAACAAAUGUUCAUGUCCGAAAGUUAAGAGAUCUUACAUAGGCUUAAAGAGUUGGGUUAUUCUUUUAUUGUCAAUUGAUUUUGCGUGAAAUUUCAUCUUACCUAAUUUUAUAAUUACGAGAAAGGCUAACAUACCCUAACAUAGAUAAUGUUAUUUACAUAUCUUAGUGUUUUUAUAAAACUUCUCGAGAUUUCGAACUAACUUUUUCAGGUUUAAAAUUGUUUUAACCUUUGAUUUUUGACCAGGUGAGAAAUUGAAGACUGACACUCUUUCAAAGGCCAAUUUGAAGCAAGCUGACCACAUUCCUCACUUAGUCUUUUAAGAGAGAUGGGCUGGGUUGUUGGUUUUCCAUCUUCUCUAUAUGAAUUAUAUAUAUGAAUGGAAGAGAAGAGUAAAUAUUCAAAAGGAACUUUGACUGUGCCAUGUUACACAUAAAUUACCUUAUGUUUGACUGUUAUAGAGCUUGGUUUAGUGAAACUCAGUCUUGCAAUUUAGGUGAAAAUAAUUUUCUUUUCUUUGGUUAGUAAAGGUGAAAAGAUUAAGAGAUUAGGUCUCUCCCCUGCUCGUCUUCAACCGCAGAAGGCUACAAUUGGAGAGAUGAUCAAAACUCUUAAAUAAGUUCAUAUUUGAAGAACAUAGUAACAUCCCUGAAGACAAAAGAGAAGAAUAAAAGGGCUUAUUCUUUUCUGAAUUUUGGGUUUAGGGAUGUAUGUAUAUCGUAUCGAUCGAUCCCUUGUACACACAAGCUGACUGCAUAAAAUUUGACAUUAGUAUCAUUUAAAUCUAAAACUGCUUACAAUAUCUCCAAGAGAGAACAAUAUAUCUCUUUUAUAGAAGGCCUAGCCUCUGGUUUGGCACUUGUACAUGCAAGGGCAAUGUCCAAAACCCCAGACACUUGCCUCCUUUCUUUCCCUUCCUUCACAGCAAACUCAAAAAACUCCGAACCACAUUCUGAUAUCAGGCCUUCCUUCUCUUCCUUUGUGCCUUCUGUCAUUCUCAAACCCUUUGGUCCUGCCAAUACGUCCAGCAGUAUCACCCCAAAGUUGUGAAUGUCACUCUUCUGACUCAGUUCAGCACAGUAAGGAGUUGUUUGCUGCCAGCAUGGCGACUUCAUCAUUUGCCACAUGUUGGGAAUUUCGACCGGCUCCGCCAAUUGGGUGAAUCCAUAAUCGGACAAGCAGGCUGAGAAGUCGAUGUUCACCAUCACAUGGCAUACCCUAAUGCUCCCAUGCACGUUCAUCUGCAUCUUCUUGUCAUAUGAAGGGUAUUGCUCAUGGAUGAAUGCAAUUGCUCGUGCAAUAUGAACAACUAUGGUCAGCCUUUGGUUCCAAUCCAACGCUGUGUGACCAUGUUGCCUAGCACCUUUAUGGUGAAACCAAAAUAAUAAUUCAGUCAUAUAUGACUAGAAAAUAAAAGAUUUGAAUUAUAUGUCAAGGUGUCACAAAAAUGAAAAAUAUAAUUUUAGGUCGACAACAUCAGAGUUGAUCUUAAGGGAUUUAAAAGGUCUGUGAGAGUAUGCAAAAACGUCUUUGGAAUGGUUAAAAGCACUUCCAAACAAACCUUAAUCUAAGAUAUUGUCCAUGAUUGGUAAUACUGAACGAAAUAAUUCUCCACUCAUUUUUUUGGUAUUGAUCUUGUGUUGAUGUCCAAAAAGAUAUCGUUUGAAGCUUAUUGAUUCAACAAAACAACCUAAUUUUAUCGGUAAGUACAAGAUCAUCAAUAAAUCAACAGAGGAUCCAAAGUUACUACUACGUUAUGAUGAUUAAAAGUUCUAAUUAUUGUGUUCGAUAGAAAUAGACAAACCCAGUUUUUUUAAGGUUAUGAAAACACUUUCGAUCUUCAUGUGAAGCACUUGAAAAUAAAUAUGUAACACGUAUUUAGGAAUAAUUAAGAUAUGCUUUAAUUUAAACUUACCAGCAAGCAAGUCAGCAAGGCUUCCCAUGGGGUAGUAAUCAGAGAGAACAAACUUGAUCCUCUUAGCAUACAAAUAAGCAAUGACAGGCACAAGAUACUCACUCUUCUCACUCACCUUAGCCAAGUGCUCUAUUCUCUUCCCAAAGUCACGACUCCCACAGCUCACCUUCCUAAACCUCUUCACAGCACAAACCCUACCACCCAACAACACCACCUUCUCAGUCAUCCCCAGCCUGCUCUCCCCUAUCACACCCACCGAACCUCUCAGCACACCCCUCAGCGUCAAGUGGGACAGCCCUUCCCCACAUCCAAGACACUUCCUGUCGUGUCCACAGCGGACAAGUGGCAGGUCCUGCAUGAACCCUACGAUGCAGUCUUCGUAGUCGUUGAACGAGCUGGUGGUGUAGCCUUGUUGUGGGUCUUGAUCUUCAUUUUUGGGGCUCUUUCUGGGCUUUGCAGUUAAGGCUCUUGACAACAUAGUUUCAGAGAGGAAUUUUGAAGAGAGGAUUUGUAAUGUCAAAUGUGUUUUGGUGUUUUGGUGAGAAUUAUGGCGUGUGGUUGUUCUUCUUGUUGGUUGUGAUUUUGAUUCAUAGUGACGUUUCUUGGUUGUAUCAAUCCAGCUAGCUUGGUGCUUCCUUAUUGGGCCCUUGGGUUUCAGAAAAUCCAAAUGUGGAAUCUGAUAUUUUUCGAACUUUGGCCAGCCUACCAAACCAAACACAUGGUAUAUAUAAUUCAUAUUUCCAUGGUGUUAUUCAGACUAGGGUUCUGCAGAUCCAAUUCAAUCCUCUAAAAUCAACCUAUUCAAUUCAAUUUAAUUCAAUUUUUAUUGGUUUCGAAAACAUUGGUAUAUUGAAUUGGAUCAGAAAAAUAGAAAUUCAAUUAAAUCGGUUUGGAUAACAAAUCAAGAAUUAAAAAUCCAACCUAAACCGAACCGAUCCAAUAUACACAUUAAUAUACAUUCAUAUUGUAUAAUAUCUACACUUUCAUCUUAUUUCUCACUAAUAUAUUAAUCUUACUUACAACAAAAUUAAAACAUUAACAUAUUAAAUAUAUUAUUGUAGUAAUUUAUAUUAAAAACUAAUAUAUUAAUGUCAUAUCUUUGAUCAUAUUGAAAUUUGUGUUAUAUGUAAUGAAAGAUUAUGAAGUUUUUUUGUGAUGAUUAUUUUUUCAUACAAACCGAUUAUCCAAUCCAAUCCAAUCCAAUGUAUAUUGGUUUAGAUUGGAUUGGAUCCUAACAUCCGACCAUUUUGGAUUGGAUUGUAAAAUUUGUAAUCCAAUAAAAGAUUGGAUAUGAUUGAAUUGGUAAAAAAUCAUUGGUUUCAAACCGAUGCUCACUCCUAAUUAAGACCUCUUAUUUACAUGCUAAAUUUACUAAACACACCAUUUCCAACCUCAUAAUAUGUAUUUACCUCUUUUUAGAAGGAAAAACAAAAAAAAGGAUGUUACAUAACCUAUAUGGCAAUACUUUUAGAAGGCUAAGAAGCGUUUUUGAAAGCAUUGGUCAUAAUAAAUAAAAAGUGCUUAUAAGUUUUAAAAGCUGAGUGAUGCCAUCAUGACAUUUUCACAAUAUGUAUGAGAAAACUUUGUUCCCUCAAAUUCAAGUGAUUGUAAAAGACUCUUCCACGAUGCACCGUAAGAAUUUCCACAGCUAUAAAAGAAUCAUUUGUGAAUGAAUGCCAAUGGAGUUUUUAAAAAAAAUAAAAUUUAAAUAUAUUUAAAUAAAUACUUUUAAUCACUUGAAUUACGAACGUCUUGCAGAAAAAUUAGGAGUUAGGAAAAUGUUUAGAUUGCUUAAAAUAGGGUUUUUAACAAUGUAAGCCCAAGAAUGUCUUCACCAAAGGGCACAAGAUAAGACCACUCCAAAUGUUGUGGAGUUGGGUUGAGAAAAGGCUUGCCCAAAACUUAGAGCAUGAGAUUCAAAUGGCCCACAUGCAGUAUUUGGUUCAAGCUGGCAUUGAUUAAGAUUUGGCAUAAACAAAACUAAUGAUAAGAACAGAAGAUUCAAACUUUCACAUAAGAUCUCCAAAAAAAUAAUAUAUUUUUGGGACAUUAUUGCUGUUGGAGUAAAAAAUACUACAACUGCGCCACGUAGCAAUCGCAACAUAAAAUAGCGGUGGUGAGCAUGUGUCUUCUGUUCCAAAGUCGCCCUCCUAGAGUCUUGGUCAGCCUCACUCGUUUUCUCCCCCUUCUAACACGUCCUGAGUGACGUCAUUUCCGACCCCUUCUCACACCCGGCAGGCACCCAGUUUUACUAAAAUACACCCUUCUCCAAUGUUAUUUGACCCUUUUUGAUUUACUAUUUGAGAGAAGCCUCUUUGUCAAUAUUUUUUUGCAAAAUUUCAAUUGCGUCUCUAAUACGAGGAAAUUUUAAGAAAAAAAGUCUUAGUUGUCGCCUCUUUUUGGGGGUUGGUUAUUUCUUUUUUUACCUCAUCCUCUCUCAUUGUAUACUUUCUUUUCUCAUUCUCUUAAUUUUCCUUCAAGAUUAUUAGUUUAUUUUGUGAAACGAUGUCGUUGUCAUGAUAUAGUCAUUGUAUUUUAGCCCACGUACACAAAGAGUUGGCUCCAUUCAACAUAAUUUGGAGCUCUAAAGAGGGGAAUAUGUCUGUUUGUGCUAAGUUCGGGUUUAACCAGUGCGUGACAAUGGAUUUAGCCGGUAUGGCACUAUGAUUUUCUUUGAGUUGCCUGGAAGAUAUGGAGCGGUGGUCCUGUUUUUUAGUUUUGUUUUAGACCAAUAAUUUUAGAAACUCUUUAGGAGUUUGUUGUGAUUUGUUUUCUAUUUAGGAUUUUUUAUUUAUUUUUAGCUUUUGACUUUCGAUACUGAUUUUUCGUUUCUGCCGUUGAGCGGCAGAUUUGUAUUGUAGGUCUUGAUAAAUGUGCUUUUGGUUGCUGGAUCGGGAAUUUAAUCAUUGUUCGAAUUGUGCGUGAUUCUUUCUAGAUUAAUUCAACAUAUUGUGUUUGGUCACUAUAAAAGAUUUACCUAUAUUUAGCACAUAGUUUUGCUCUGUACUUUUGUGCAUGCUUUUAAGUUUGACAAAUAGGAUGCUAGUCGACCCAAAGAUUUCGUAUUGUAAAUAAGUUUUGUUUAUUACAAAAAAUUCUUUAGCAAACUCAUUUAUUAGCGAGACCUGAAUUUUGCUCAUCUAAUGACUUUUAGCUCUUCAAUUAAAUUUUCUACAUUAAAACAAGAAACAAUACAAUCAAUCCAAAAGUCAGAUGACUUUUAGCUCUUCCAUAUUUAUGUCACCUCAUCACUAUGAGAGAGUAUAGUAAAACGAUGAAGAGUCUCUGGAGAUGCUCCUCCUAGUAAGCUUGGGUGAAUGGCAAAUAUGUAAAUUCGACAAGAGAACGAGCCCUUAUUUGGAAAUUGGAUCCAUGUGAUCGUGCCCGCAUUUUCCAAGUCAACUCAGUCGAAUCUCAUAUCGCUCCAACUAACGGCUCUCCUGUGAACCCAAACUAACCGGAAACCCCCUCCCUCCAAUCACGUGGCCGGUCACCCCAUUGCCCGCUGCCCGCCUUUUCCUCCUCCCUCACUCAAAUAGUCACAAAUUUCAAACCCGAACUGCCCGAUCUGCCCGAAACACACCCCUUAUAAGUUAUAUAUAUCACCACCAACCGCUCAUCUUCUCCAAUUCACAAAAUGGCCAAACUCGUCUUCUUCCUCGUCGCUCUCCUCUUCCUCUUCUCCUUCUCCUUCUCCCACGCCCUCACGCCGUCCGAUCUACCCGAGAAGGAAACCAACGGCCGCGAUCCAGCCAACACCAAGUUUCCCGAAUCCGAAUCCAAGCCCGCGACCGCCAUACUCUUACCCAGCGAGAAACGUGACUCCGAACCCGCCAAGGUCUUCGAAUGGAUACCGGAGGCCGCCGAUACGAAGCUUCCGGAUUCUGAUGGCCCCACCAUCUUGGCCAACGAAGAGUCGACUGAGUUCACACACAGCGAGUCCGUUCCGUUGACCGUCAUCAGCUUCCGCCCCGUCAACCGCCACUUCCCCAGGCGCCCCUUCCCGUUAUCGUUCCGUCACGGACACCGUUGCCGCCAUGGCCGCCGCCAGGUCGGGCCGUGGAGCCCACGCUUCCACGGAGGAGAACGCGACCGCGACGUCGUUUCGUACGGCGACGACAUGAUCCUCGGCGACGACUUGGCUUUCGAUCAGGUGUUUCACGGCGGACCGCGCCAGAUCCCUCCUAGGUGGGGCAGUUUCCGCCACGGUGGGCCCAGGUUCCCGUUCAGGCACGACGACAACAUGGAAUUGGAGAGGCCGCAUCACCAUCAUCACCAUCGCCACGACCACGACCACGACAGCAAAGAAUUUGAAGGAAUGGAGAAGCCGAGAGAGCACAGGCAUGAACACGAACGAGAGCAGGAGGGUGGUUUGAUGAGAAGGUUCCGCAAGUUCUUGAACCGCUUUUGAGUUUUGAAGCGACUAUCUUAAUCUUAUCUGUUUUUAGUUUUACUUGUACCAGCUUAUCUUAUGUUACUCUGUUUCUGUAAAUAACCAUG
rnacentral:lncRNA from 1 species